AAAAAUCUUGAAGAUGUGGGAAAAUAAGUUGAGUGCUACUGUUGGCGAAUUUUUAAAUUUUCUGGGAAAAAUGGAAAGAGGAGAUGUUCUUCAGGAAUGCCUUCCUUUUAUUGAGAAUGAUGCAGACAAAUAUUUAAAAAUGCGAAAUCCUAUUCAAGUUCCUGUAGUAACAUCUUGUGCUCCUGCUUGUUUAAACCCUGAAAAUGGAACUGUUAGUCCCACGGAUGCAGAUAUGAGAG